rnacentral:ncRNA from 1 species
AAUCCGGUAUAUCCAAGGCCUAACCAGCCAGAUAUUAGCGAGUCUUGGGAUGGUGCCAGUAAGUAGGGUCGUUAAAGCGAUUGAGCCUCGAAAAGUUAGUUAUUCCAGUUGGCCGACGUCUUAACUGGUGCGGAAGGCAACAUCGUGCAGCUCGACAUGGUGAGAACUGCAUGGCACUGCGGGGUCAGAGAGC